rnacentral:rRNA from 1 species
UGGGGAAUAUUGGACAAUGGGCGAAAGCCUGAUCCAGCCAUGCCGCGUGUGUGAAGAAGGUCUUAUGGUUGUAAAGCACUUUAAGCGAGGAGGAGGGUACUGGUAUUAAUACUACCAGCUACUGGACGUUACUCGCAGAAUAAGCACCGGCUAACUCUGUGCCAGCAGCCGCGGUAAUACAGAGGGUGCGAGCGUUAAUCGGAUUUACUGGGCGUAAAGCGUGCGUAGGUGGUUCGUUAAGUUGAAUGUGAAAGCCCCGGGCUCAACCUGGGAACUGCAUCCAAAACUGGCGAGCUAGAGUAGGGCAGAGGGUGGUGGAAUUUCCUGUGUAGCGGUGAAAUGCGUAGAUAUAGGAAGGAACACCAGUGGCGAAGGCGACCACCUGGGCUCAUACUGACACUGAGGUGCGAAAGCGUGGGGAGCAAACAGG